UGUCAAAAUAAUAAAAUAACAUUUCAUCGAUCGCUCGGCCCUCUAUUGGCUUCUUACUCCCUCAGAUGUGGCUCUUAUGCAUAACCCAGGCUAUGCAGAUCUUGGUGAUAUUUUAAACCCUAAACCAAAGUUUUGCCGGACACAUUUCUACCAUGGCCAGCAUUUUUUUCUACUGCCUUUAUCUUCUUCCUCCACGUGCUUUUCGAUGGCAAUUACCGUUCGUCAUGAUGUAUCCAGGUCUGCACUGCUUCGCAAAUCCAACUAUUUGCAUACGAGUUUUUGGAUCUAAUGGAUCUAAUGUUUGAGCCAGCACCAGCAAAGCAAGGACGACCUCAUAUUUGAGCGAUUGAAGGCCUGGGCUGAUGAUUUUUAUACAUUGACAACACCUCGUUCACGGUUCAUUUAAAUGGGUUCCGGCAAUGCCACGGACAAACAGUCCGGUAUUGCCAUAACGAAACAAAAACUGUGACGGACAAAUUAAAUGGCGAAAACACACA